AAGAGGAAGAGGCGCCGUUUCGAGUCUCCAAGACUACACUUGUUGUUUAAAAAAAAACAUAUUUUGUGGGCCCGCAGGUACAGCCGGCGUAGAAACAACAAAAGUGGGUGCACACCGGACGAGUGCAGUGCCGUGUCCUGGACAACUCACAGAAGUAAAUCAGUGAAGGACGAUGACAUCUGUUGAGGAGCUGCUUGUGAACACACUGCAGGAACUGGUAACAGCUGAUCUGAAGGAGGUUUCAGUGGUACUUAAAGAAUGAUGGGGCUGUUCCAGCUUCUGUGAUGGAGAAUGCAGAUAUCUUAAAGACAGUGGAUACGAUGGUGGAACGCUUUGGACCAAAAGAAGCUUUGAAACUGGCACUGACAAUCCUGAGGAAGAUGAACCAGAACUACCUGGCUGAACAGUUAGAGAAAAAAAAUCUGUCUGCAAAAAAUCUGAAAGAUGAGCUUAA